CCUAACUUAGCGGCGGACGGGUGAGUAAUACUUAGGAAUCUGCCUAUUAGUGGGGGACAACAGUUGGAAACGACUGCUAAUACCGCAUACGCCCUACGGGGGAAAGCAGGGGAUCUUCGGACCUUGCGCUAAUAGAUGAGCCUAAGUCAGAUUAGCUAGUUGGUGGGGUAAAGGCCUACCAAGGCGACGAUCUGUAGCGGGUCUGAGAGGAUGAUCCGCCACACUGGGACUGAGACACGGCCCAGACUCCUACGGGAGGCAGCAGUGGGGAAUAUUGGACAAUGGGGGGAACCCUGAUCCAGCCAUGCCGCGUGUGUGAAGAAGGCCUUAUGGUUGUAAAGCACUUUAAGCGAGGAGGAGGCUACCUAGAUUAAUACUCUAGGAUAGUGGACGUUACUCGCAGAAUAAGCACCGGCUAACUCUGUGCCAGCAGCCGCGGUAAUACAGAGGGUGCGAGCGUUAAUCGGAUUUACUGGGCGUAAAGCGUGCGUAGGCGGCUGAUUAAGUCGGAUGUGAAAUCCCUGAGCUUAACUUAGGA
rnacentral:rRNA from 1 species